CACGUAGGGCGCAAGCGUUGUCCGGAAUUAUUGGGCGUAAAGAGCUCGUAGGCGGUGUGUCGCGUCGGCCGUGAAAACCUGGGGCUCAACUCUGGGCGUGCGGUCGAUACGGGCAUCACUUGAGUUCGGCAGGGGAGACUGGAAUUCCUGGUGUAGCGGUGAAAUGCGCAGAUAUCAGGAGGAACACCGGUGGCGAAGGCGGGUCUCUGGGCCGAUACUGACGCUGAGGAGCGAAAGCAUGGGUAGCGAACAGG
rnacentral:rRNA from 1 species